UACGUAGGGUGCGAGCGUUGUCCGGAAUUAUUGGGCGUAAAGAGCUUGUAGGCGGUUUGUCGCGUCUGCCGUGAAAAUCCGGGGCUCAACCCCGGACUUGCGGUGGGUACGGGCAGACUAGAGUAUGGUAGGGGAGACUGGAAUUCCUGGUGUAGCGGUGAAAUGCGCAGAUAUCAGGAGGAACACCGAUGGCGAAGGCAGGUCUCUGGGCCACUACUGACGCUGAGAAGCGAAAGCGUGGGGAGCGAACAGG
rnacentral:rRNA from 1 species